rnacentral:lncRNA from 1 species
UUUAUAAAUAUAUUUUAUUUAUACAUUAUUUGUAUUUAUUUAGAGCAGUUGAUCGACACUCUAAUUGCCCAGCAAUUUAAAUAAAUAAAAAAAAUUUAAACUACAGAGUAACAAAAUAAAAAUACGCUAAUUAAAUUACAAAAGAGCAAAUUAAAAUUUAGGUGAAAAUGUAUAAAACUUAUCUGAACCAUGGACCAUUUUGAAUUUUUGACUAUUAAAUAUUUUAAUUUGUUUGAUCUGAAUCAGCCAACAAUAUUUUGACUUCAAAUUUGAAUACAUCGUUUUUCUUUACAAGUUUAGUUAAUAUACUGCAUGCAAUUUUCGUAAUCAUAACUUAAUUAAAGUGAGAAAUUAACUCUUAAAUUUUGAAGGCGAAGCCUCCGUUAAUUGAUUUAAAUCAAAUAAAUUAAAAGAUUAAGCAGUAAAAUAAAGUUCUUGAAUGCUCCAACGGUAGAUAGAAUCCAAACGACCUACAGCUCAGAUAAAUUGUAUAUAUUUCCACAUAAAAUUGAUUCAUUCAUUUUC